UGGAGAGUUUGAUCCUGGCUCAGACGGACGAACGCUGGCGGCGUGCUUAACACAUGCAAGUCGAACGGUAAGGCCCUUCGGGGUACACGAGUGGCGAACGGGUGAGUAACACGUGGGUAAUCUGCCCUGCACAUCGGGAUAAGCCUGGGAAACUGGGUCUAAUACCGAAUAGGACCACAGGACACAUGUCCUGUGGUGGAAAGCUUUUGCGGUGUGGGAUGGGCCCGCGGCCUAUCAGCUUGUUGGUGGGGUGAUGGCCUACCAAGGCGACGACGGGUAGCCGGCCUGAGAGGGUGUCCGGCCACACUGGGACUGAGAUACGGCCCAGACUCCUACGGGAGGCAGCAGUGGGGAAUAUUGCACAAUGGGCGAAAGCCUGAUGCAGCGACGCCGCGUGGGGGAUGACGGCCUUCGGGUUGUAAACCUCUUUCACCAUCGACGAAGGUCCGGGUUUUCUCGGGCUGACGGUAGGUGGAGAAGAAAGCACCGGCCAACUACGUGCCAGCAGCCGCGGUA
rnacentral:rRNA from 1 species